rnacentral:lncRNA from 1 species
CUUUUCUCUCGAUGUUUGCAUCACAAAUGUGUCUACAAAUUUUUUUUGUCUGCAAAGAAUUUUAUCCACAAAUAAGAACCUUCCCUUACUAAUAAAUUUUGUCAGAAAAACAUAAAAUUCUUGUAGUGACUAUAGCCUUCAUGUUCGAUUGCAGGGAGGUGUAAUGAAUUAUUGCUAUUUGUCGGGACAAGGUUUGUGGGGGUGGGGGUGGCAUGUGACAUGAAGGAGAUGAAAACGUGCAAGAUAGAGGAUGGGUGUAAUCACGUGUGAAGGUUUGGUGUUGGUCCCAAAAUUCAGUAAUUGGAAGCGACACGCGUCCCUACGAAUAACGUUGUUGCCUAAGAUUGUUAGGUUAUGACUAGAAUUUUCAUUUGUUAAGCACUUGUACCUUGUAUUUGUAAGUUAAGUUUGAAAUCAGCUAUGUGUAAGGAAUUUGGUCAAAAUUUUGAAUAAGUGUUGUUAAAAUUAAUGAUCAUUAUGU